rnacentral:rRNA from 1 species
GACGAACGCUGGCGGCGUGCUUAACACAUGCAAGUCGAACGAUGAGGCCGGAGCUUGCUCUGGCGAAUUAGUGGCGAACGGGUGAGUAACACGUGAGUAACCUGCCCUUGACUCUGGGAUAACUGCGGGAAACUGUAGCUAAUACCGGAUACGACCCUCGGAGGCAUCUCCUGGGGGUGGAAAGAAUUUCGGUCAAGGAUGGACUCGCGGCCUAUCAGCUAGUUGGUGAGGUAAAGGCUCACCAAGGCGACGACGGGUAGCCGGCCUGAGAGGGUGACCGGCCACACUGGGACUGAGACACGGCCCAGACUCCUACGGGAGGCAGCAGUGGGGAAUAUUGCACAAUGGGCGCAAGCCUGAUGCAGCAACGCCGCGUGAGGGAUGACGGCCUUCGGGUUGUAAACCUCUUUUGGCAGGGAAGAAGCGAAAGUGACGGUACCUGCAGAAAAAGCACCGGCUAACUACGUGCCAGCCGCCGCAGUAC